GAUAACUUAAGAACGCUUGGGAUAGGAUCAUGAAACUUUAUAGGUACAUUGAUCAUGACUCGCAGAUGACCCCUAUUGAUUUUGAGGUCACUAGGUCAAAGGUCACGGUGACCCGAAAUAGUAAAAUGGUUUCCGGAUGAUAACUCAAGAACGCAUACGCCUAGGAUCAUGAAACUUCAUCGUUAGAUAGAUCAUGACUCGCAGAUGACCCCUAUUGAUUUUGAGGUCACUAGGUCAAAGGUAAAGGUCACGGUGACCCGAAAUAGUUAAAUGGUUUCCGGAUGAUAACUCAAGAACGCUUACGCCUAGGAUCAUGAAACUUCAUAGGUACAUUGAUCAUGACUCGCAGAUGACUCAUAUUGAUUUUCAGGUCACUAGGUCAAAGGUCAAGGUCACGGUGACCCGAAACAGUAAAAUUGUUUCCGGAUGAUAACUCAAGAACGCUUUUGCCUAGGAUCAUGACACUUCAUAGGUACAUUGAUCAUGACUCGCAGAUGACCCCUAUUGAUUUUCAGGUCACUAGGUCAAAGGUCAAGGUCACA